UAGAGCCAGCAGGCCACCAAGCCAACCCUCAGUCAAGGUCUGCCUGGCUCCCAAGCCUGAGACUUUUUCCAACAUGACGCUGAAGAGUUCAAGGUUUGAGGCCUUAUGAGAAUUCUCUCUUUCAUUUCUCCUCUGGAAGCCGGUCCUAAUUUGGAAAGCAAAUCCUUGGACAGGAAACUCCGACUUUCCCCUUAAAUCUCAGCCAUCUCCCCCGGCUCUUUCUUUCCUCUGCAGACAGAACCAGGCAGAUUUACAGAGAGAAUGAGAGGAGGGGGAAACACUUCAUAAAUAAAGAGAGAGAGAUCAGAUCAACAGCAAAGCUUCUUCUGGUCAAAGGGGGAAAUGGAUUUUUAAUAGAAAAUGGAAGUUAUGGGCUUGGUUGUGAUGUGACAGACGCCCAGACUUAAACCCAUUUAAUCUUCUCCGCCGGUUAACAUUGAGCACCACCCCGAUGCCGCGUUUCAUAAAACAGGCUCCAAAUGGCUGGGAGAUUAGAAGUGUAGAAAUAGCACAGCAAUAUUUUUAAACCAGAAAUCGCCCCCAGGCAUUUGGGCUGCCCCAGGGUCACCCCUGAAACCUAAAUAUCCAUCGUAUCAACUCGUCCGCCUGCCCUGUGCUGUCUGGCCAUUGGGAUUAGCUUGGUGAAGGAAACUCAACACGCGCACAGUCGACACCCAGGGGCCCCCACCCCACCUGCCUGACUUGGGAUGGAGGUGUCUGGCCAGCUGAGGCUUCUCCCAGGUGCACACUGAAUGGUCCCCAUGUCAUCAUCUCCAAUCAUCGUAAAUGACAACCCGAGGGGACUCACAUAUUAAUGCCCUACCACCUCCACUGGGAGAAUUGGAAAAACAGAUCUCAGAGAGGACCAACCAGUGGGGCCCCAGCUCAACCACCAUGUCUAUCCAAAGCUCAGCAUUUAUUGUGUGCCAGGCGCUGUGAGAAGGCCCUUCCUUGCAUUAUGGCACUACAAGCACCCUCUAAUGGGGCUACUGCCCAAGACCCCAUUUUACAGCUGAGACAACAGGGUCUUCGAGAGAUCAAGUAAUUUCCUCAGUAACACAGCCGGGGCUGGCAGAGCGGCAUUUCAAACUACCUUACACCAGCUGCGUUUCUCAACGGGAGCACUUCAUUCUACUCGCAGAAUGUCUCCAAGAUGUGAUCAUCCUUACAUGGGGGUUUUCUGAUGAAUGAGAGCCAUUUGGGGGAUGACAAUUCUGAAUUAUUUGGGGCCACCCAGGCAUCAGACAUUUCAUCCCUAAUCAUCCCUCCCCACCCCCCACUAUAUACUCCCUACCUCGUCACUAUAACAACCCCAAAGUAUCUCCCCCAACUUCCAAACAGCCCUAAGAAAGCAGUAUCACCCCAAUGAGAAGCAAUGCCCCAAGGCCCAAGUGGCCACCUCUGUCCAUCAGAAACAUGGGGUUUUUUCUUUCCCCCUUAGGAUUCUUAGCACAAACAUAGGUCCUAUAACCAGCAAUCAGAAAGCUCUGAGAUCCAGUAAAGAUCCUUCAACCUACAAGGCCCCUCACCAUCAGCUCCAUAUGGAACUCCAGGAGGAGUUAUGAGCAACAGCUGACAGUCAAAUAGACUCUAAUCUUCCAGCCCCUCCUAGACAGGGCCUGUCAAAAGAAGGCCCCUUAUGGCCAGAAAGGUCUUUCCCAGGAGUCAGCUCAGACAGCACAGUUGUCCCCAGAGAUUCCUAGAUUUAGAUUGUUCAUGCUGGAGGGACUUAAGAGAUUAUUUGUUCAAUCUCCUCCAUUUACAGAUGGGGAGAGUGAGGCCUAGAGAGUCAUACACUCCCAGAUACACUGGCCAGAGUCCUGGAUGGGACCCAAGCCCUGUCUCCACCGAUCUUGCAGUUCUGGCUGCUCCAGCAACCCAGGCAUGGAGGGCAUCAUGGAGAAAGGAAGUCACAGCACAGGAGCGAGCGUUAGAGCGGCCAGGGCUGCUGGUCGGCUGCCUAGAGAGGGCUCAGGUGGGCAGGACAUCUGCGUACUAGUGGUCAGUGUGCCCAAGUAGAAGAGGAUCCAUAGAUCCCGCCUCUAUGUGGUAGGUGGGAUCCAUCCCACCUAAAAGGUAGGAGCAAGAGUCAGCGAGUAGGAGGUCAGGACCAAGACAGAACUGGCUGAUCACAAGGGUGAGCUCUGUAUACUCAGAGAUAUCUGGCGGGGAAUGGGGUGCCUUGAAAGGAAGGAGUUUCCUGUGACUGGAAGUGCUGGAGCAGAGGAGGAAUACCGCUGGGGGGAAAGCACAGAGGGGAUCAGGCAGCUGAUGAGGGGGAUGAAUUCAGUGUCCCUGAACGUGACUUCCAACCUGGAAGACUUGAACCCAUGGCAGUCACACCUUCAAGGCAGGUCCCCUGUCCUUCUCCUCACCCACGGCUCUGGGAGGCCACUCCAGAUACCAGAUACAAGGUGACCAUGGCCCUGACUCAGCUGGGUUCUCAGGGCCUGUUGCUGUUCAGUCGCUGAGUCGUAUCCGAUGCUUCGCGGCCCCAUGGACUGCAGCACACCAGGCCCAGUCCAUCUCCCAGAGUCUGCUCACACUCAUGUCCAUUGAGUCAGUGAUGCCAUCCAACCAUCUCAUCCUCUGUCACCCCUUUCUCCUCCUGCCUUCAAUCUUUCCCAGCACCGGAGUCUUUUCCAAUGAGUCAGCUCAGGGCCUGGAUUCCAGUAAUUGCCGUGACCUCAAACAAGGUCACACAAGAUGGGACCCUGUGCCUACUCUCCUUCCCACACACACAGAUACAAAAGUGUGGAUUCCCAGCAGGGAAAAUACCCUCAAGGGAACGUCCAGAGGACUACGGAGUAAACAGACGUCUAAGCACCUAGGGAUGGAGGAGAGACACACACAGAGUUUAACGGAGAUGCAACCAGCCUUUGAAUAACUGUUCUUAAUGAAGAUGGUGACCUUGGAAACCGUCAACACAAGCAUCAAGGAGAGCAAGGGCAUGGGGAAGUGGAGCGGGAGGUGGCUGAAUGGAUGAGGGGAGAGCAGCUGAAUGGCAGGGGUGGUGCCCAAGGCUAAUGCUAUUCGCGCUAAAGUAGCGCGGGACAAA